AAGUUUGAUCCAUUCAUUCUUUCCCAACAUGUGGUGCAAGUGUAUUAUUUACCUUAUCCUAGGAGGAUAAGAGAUAAGGUAGACUAGUGGGUGGUCAUCAAGACAAUAUCAAGAGGUCGAGUAGUUAAUGACCAUACCUUGGAGCCUGCCUUUCAAGAUGAGGAGAUGUCUUGAGUCAAUGCAAUAGAUGAUAAUGAGCCCACUGAAAUUUUGACGAGACAGUGAGGGAUUAUUUGAGGACAUUGAUGCAUAUCUUGAAGGCACUAUUGACGAUGAAGAAAAAGAAGAUGAAAAGAAAGUUGAA
rnacentral:lncRNA from 1 species